GGUUACUAAGACCCCCCACAUACUCACUGGGGGCACGGCACAUAUAGCGUCCCCUGUCAUACUUCAGCAUACCGGCUUCUGAAUUUCUGUUCCCAUUCACACACAGGUAUACUUACGUGCGCUCUGUUUCACCAUUAUAUUCAGGGCUGCACUCAGCUGUUUAGUUCAAAACGCUGCUUUUUCCCGCAGGCAGGCUGUUUAACUAUUGGUAUGCCGUUCAGUCAGUAUGGGUGGCUAAAUAUCGCCACCUUGUGGCUGCAUUCAUUAUGGCUGGUUUCAUUCAUU